CCGAACUAGAUUGUGCAGACAGUAAUGAAGCUGUUUCCAUUGCCGUGGCCAAAGUAACUGAAACUUUUGGUGAACUUGCCAAUUGUCUAAGCAAUUGUCAGGCAAAGCUUCCUAACCCUACAAUUGCGCUUUCACAGAAGACGCCAAUGAAGAGUGAGGCAGAGUUACAUGAAGAGGACUCUAACAAUGAAGAGGACCUCUAUGCUUCCGUUUUUGUCCAGCAGAUGUUUCACAAUUUUAGAGAAGCUAACUUUAUGCAAUAAUGGGAAAUUUUUAUUCACUGUGGAUCAACUCAAGUCUGACCCGGAUACCUGGAGGGAAAGAAUAAAAUCCGGCAGAGUUUUUGCGGUAUCUUCUGUUGAUGGGCGUAACAGAUCUGCAUCUCUCUCGAUGAAGGAUGGACAAGUGUACCUUCACUGCUUGAAAGAUGAAGAAGCUCCACUGGUUAGCUGCCAAAUUGAGGUACAAUGCGUUCUUUUUUUUCAUUUUUGCA